CCCAACCAAAAAAUCCCCACGAUCGUUCCUACCCGCUCGCUCCGUCCCCGACUCCCCUCCCUCCCACGCCUCGCGCCUCCUUGCACCGCUCCGGCAGCCGCUCGCCAUCCGCCGUCGCCGGCGACCACCAGCAGCGCCCGUCGCGCCUCUCCGCGCGCCACUCGGAGGCCCCAGCCAGGCCGCGCAGCCGUCCUCCACAACCCGGGCCUCCUCCUCGACCUCGCCUCUCCGUGCGACAACCGGCGUCGCCGCCGGCGGCCACGGGUCCAGCGCCGCCUUCGUCCUCCACCUUCUCCUAAAGCGCGCGUUCGCCGCGGGCGCUGGAGGUGGCGCGGCGGUCCUCGCCCUCGAGCUCACUGAGGACGGCGUCCUUGCCGAGCAGCUCGACGAGAGCAGGAGGCUCGCCUCGCUGCCAAUGUCACUGAACUGAAUCGGCAGCCAUCUCAGCCACGUCUUUCAGCACGUAACCGGCGAACCUAUUCAGCAGCUCCUGGGCAAACAGCUUUGACCCCUGUUAACACGUUAUGAGGAUCCAUGGCCUCUUCUUCUAUUUCUUCAGUGUUUCUGCUGCAUCUUCCUGACACUGGUCCUCAACUAGCUUAUUUUGCUCUUCUUUCUGAAGAUCCAUGGCCUGCUUUUCCAAUUGUUGAGUGGGUACAGUAGUCUUCAUAUCAUCACCUAAUUGAUUGCAAACAAAAUUCUCAUCCGUUUCAGAUACGAUAGUCCCGCUUUUCUGACUCUUCUCUGCUUCUGAACUUGCCUUCUCUGUUUCAAGACACAUAACGCGGGACACUGCAACUACAGAAAGGCAUGGGACACGCACCGAUUUAAGUCCAUGUCAGGGGCAUCACCUGUCUCACGUUCGCAGGAGGAAGAAGCUCUGAGUUCGCCGGAGGUACACAAACAUCCGUCGAGCACUCCAAUGUCGCCUACGGCGUCUGCACCAGAGGUGCCAAAGGCGUCUCAGGUGGAGGCGAAGGAGGUUCUUCUAAUUCCUAAGGCACCAGACUGGACAUUCCUAUGUUGACUACCAUUUAUGGUCAAUAAAGUUGUCCGUGUUUGUUUUUGAUUGCUCAACUAAAUAUCUGAAGCCAAAUGAUGUAUGCAUUCAUGUUUCUCCUCUAAGGCAGAAAGACUGGACAUUCCUAUGGGCCAACAAUACCAGCUGUAGUGCUGAAACAAGCACGCUUCCAUCAUUUGUUACCGGUUCCUUUUGCUCGAUAGCAGGCUCGUUUUCUUGGAUGUGGUAUAAUUAUAUGCCGACAGAUAUUGACAGGUGUAUAAUGUAGUAUAUAUUCCUAAUUCCUCCAAUGUCUUAAUAGCAUGAAGAAUGUAGCACUUCAGGUCCUCAUCAAGAUGCCCAGUACAACCGAAGAUGGGUUCCCGAUUGUUCCUAGAUAUUUCAGAGCAACUAGAGUGGUCUUACCUGACAAGCUCCAAUGUUGUGCUGAAGUAUUUUGAACAAGCUUGUCCUUUGCCUUAUGCCGGAACAAGGCACCUUCUAUUCCCCAUGGGCACCAAGAAUGCGAAGACAUUGACGAUUCGAGCAAAUGUAGGUUCAGGCUUCAAGAUUGAGCCGAGCGCCCUACCAGCAGAUCUGGAUAAUGCAUAUCAGCGAUUGGAUAUUUCUGGCCCUACAGUUAACCCUUUUGUUUUUUCCUGUAUGGUGAGGGCGAGAUAAAAGAUAUGCUUUCUGUUUGUGCUGAGCAUGGAGCUUGGGUAGUGAUAGACACCUUCUCUGGUCUGGAGUUCCACAACAGAGAUGGCUGGAUUUUGCGGAACGGGAGGAUAUUUUCACAAGCCCAAGCCGACCACAUGGCACUUUGAAAUGCACUUAUAGGAAGCUGUUGGUUCUGAAGAACAAGAGGGAUCAACAUUUCUCUAAUCUCAUCACGCCAACAAACUGACGAAGGUACCACUGUGGUAUUUAGAUGCUGGCGAAACCGACGGCGUACAUCGGCAAAUCGUUCAGGGUGGAUGAUUUUGAAGGCGAGCUCGACGGCUGCAAUAUCAGGGAAGCCCUACUGAACUACUGCAGGUUCAGCUUACCCUGUAGUAUUUUCUUUACAACAAGGCCUCACACGAGCAAAACUGUCAUCUUGUUGUUUAGUUUUGGCCCGGGACUGCAAUUUUUUCCCUUAUUGCAUCCCUUAGUGCAUAAAAUAAAAUAUAUAAUGUGCAUAAAAGCUGAAAACAACCAUUACGAUCAUAGUAGGCGAACUGAAAUUGUAGGGAUAUAAAGCAGUACCUGAACAUACAAAAGCUGGCCACAACUCUGUCUUCAAUUCCAUCUUGUUUCCAGAUUUCAGGAGUAGAUCAUCACCACCAUCACGACGAUCAGGCUCUUUGUCAGUGCAAAUAACAGACUAACACCACAAGGACUUCAUUAACCUUAGCCACUUCUUAUGGGUACAUGAGAACUAAAAAAAUUCAUCUGUUAAAAUUUGUUUUUGUGACUGUUUGGACUAAUUCAUGUGCAUAAUUUAUAUUUUCAAUUAGACUGAUUUAUUGUAGUUUUAUCAAUGAAGUAUAUUAAGAUGUGGGCAUUAUAUCGAAAGUGUUGUUCUACACCCGAGGUCAUGUGAGCUCGGGUGAACAGUAAAAUAAAUAAAAAAUGGAAAAACAAUUCAAAAAAUGUGAUUUCUUUUUGUGUGAGACACUGAAAAAAUGUUUAUUGGCUUGCAAAAUUUCAAUACUAUCUUUCUUGACAGAUUGUUUGUGGUCUGCCAUGAGCCCACGACGUACCCAUCUGCAUCUGCCUCGCCUUGAGGCCACAGCAGCACCCCUGCCCUUCUGCUCCUGCUGGCGACCGCAACCCUCUGGCGGCAGCGACGCCGCUCUCGUGUGCUGGCCUUGCUGUCUCAUCUCCUCUCGCUCUCAUGUUUGGGUCUGAUGUUAGCGUUAUGUGUGUGUGGAUGGAUAUGAUGCUACCACGGUGUGUGUACAAAUCUAUUUUUGGUUUAUUUUUCUUUGGAGUAUUGCUGUUGGAGAUGAGCUUAAGAGGCGAAAGAGUAAAGAUCUGGUAGGCUGUUUGUAUUGCUUCAGGAGAAUCUUUUAUCACUGUUUUUGGGACUGUAUUUAUGUCAAAGAGGCAUGUAGGGAGCUGGAACAAAUUUGUUACUUCUCAUGGCCACUUUUUUGAACAUGAUUACUGAGCUUGACUAUGCGGAGGUAGUAAAAAAAUAUCAGUGUGAUGGGCUUGAGAGAUAUCA